rnacentral:rRNA from 1 species
CCUACGGGUGGCAGCAGUGGGGAAUAUUGCACAAUGGGGGAAACCCUGACCCAGCAACGCCGCGUGAUGGAAGAAGGCUUUCUGUAUGUAAAGUUCUUUUAUCAGGGAAGAAAAUGACGGUACCUCCUUAAGCAUCCCCGGCUACCUCCGUGCCAGCCGCCGCGGUAAUACGUAGGGGGCAAGCGUUAUCCGGAUUUACUGGGUGUAAAGGGAGCGUAGGCGGCAGCACAAGUCUGGCGUGAAAUGCCGGGGCUUAACCCCGGAACUGCUUUGGAAACUUUGCAGCUAGAUUGCAGGAGAGGUAAGGGGAAUUCCGGGUGUAGCGGUGAAAUGCGUAGAUAUAAGGAGGAACACCAGUGGCGAAGGCGGCUUACUGGACAGUAACUGACGUUGAGGCUCGAAAGCGUGGGGAGCAAACAGGAUUAGAUACCCUGGUAGUC